rnacentral:tRNA from 1 species
AAAAACAUAAUAUAAAAUCUUAAUAUAUUUCACUUACACUGAAAGUAUGCUGGAAUUAACUAGCUGUUUUUA